UGGGGAAUAUUGGACAAUGGGCGCAAGCCUGAUCCAGCCAUGCCGCGUGUGUGAAGAAGGCCUUAGGGUUGUAAAGCACUUUCAGGGGUGAGGAAGGGUAAUGAAUUAAUACUUUAUUACUUUGACGUUAGCCCCAGAAGAAGCACCGGCUAACUCUGUGCCAGCAGCCGCGGUAAUACAGAGGGUGCAAGCGUUAAUCGGAAUUACUGGGCGUAAAGCGCGCGUAGGUGGUUUGUUAAGUCGGAUGUGAAAUCCCAGGGCUCAACCUUGGAUGGCACCCGGAUACUGGCUAGCUAGAGUAUGGUAGAGGGGUGUGGAAUUUCCUGUGUAGCGGUGAAAUGCGUAGAUAUAGGAAGGAACAUCAGUGGCGAAGGCGACACCCUGGACUAAUACUGACACUGAGGUGCGAAAGCGUGGGGAGCAAACAGGAUUAGAUACCC
rnacentral:rRNA from 1 species